CAAGAGAAGGGGGGAAAUACUCGUACAAUCUAUACUUUCACUGUCGUUCAAGAAUAAAAAAUCUUUUACGCUACGUUCCCAUUCGUUUCUUUAUCAUCCAUAUAUAAUAUUCUAAUUACUGUGGGAUAUAUUAAUAUUAAAGUUCCUGUUUACGGUGCCAUCUGUUAGACAUAAUUGAUGACGGAACGGAUUAACCCACUUGUAGACGGAUAUGAAAUCGAUAUCGGUA